rnacentral:lncRNA from 1 species
UUCAAGAAUAACUCAUAAACCAUACAACGAUUCUCAUUUAACACUGUCAUCUUCACUUUUAUCAUUCUACAAACACGCAGCAUGGCCCAUCUGUGACCUGUAAAUUUAAAGUCUGAAAGAUAUUUCUGCAUGCUAAGUAGUAUUCUAUUUCAAUACUGUCUUGUCUUCCUCUUUUUGUGAUCGAGGGAAUGAAUGUAUGAGCAGAAAACACAAAGUAUGUCAAGACCAGAAUCGCGUCAAACAAGUAGAAGAUCGUCAGCUAUAGCUUCUUCGAUUUCUAUACACCGGAAUACAUCACUAAACAAAUCAGGCUAUUCUGAUGCUCAAACAAGUGGAAAUCAAAAUAAAUGUACAGCAUCCUCUUCAUCACUCAAGGCAUUGAAUACAGAUACUGUGAACCUGCAAAGUUUAAGCAAACUGUGGUUAGAAACCCAUCGUGCAAGAUUGCCAUCGGUUAUCCUUCUUUGAGGAGGAUGAAGCAAUGGAGAAACAAAAGAAAAUGGGAAAAAGGGAAUCAUCGAAGAUAGAAAUUUAGGAGAAGUUAAAGAGGGAUUUUCUUAAAUGCUAAUGUUGGAAUAAUUCGAGAGACAUUUUAAAAUUCAUCUGUAAGUUUAGACUCAGUUUAACUAGGAGAUUAUAUAAAUAAUAUUAGGAUAGGAAAAAAGGAGUUUGUGUGGAAUUGAAAUAAUAAAUUCUAAGUUCCAGCGAUGUUAAAAUUUGUUCCGGUAUAAGAGUGGAUUUGUGAAUGAAUUCAACCCAAAUUUUAAAUUUGUUCAAAACGUAGCUAACUCUAUGGUAUCUUGGAGGCAUCAUGACUCCAAAGCCCUUAAGCAACAGUCUCUUAAACACCUCACAGUAAUUCUAUAGCGUUGUGUGGUAAUGGACUAUGCUGAAUUAUACUAAGUUACUUCAUUUAUGGUACAACAUUAUCAAAUUACUACGUAAUAUAAAAGACUGAGGGGUGGAGACAAAGCGAGAAUGCCUUCUUGAUGGGAAAAUAAUAAAUAAGUAUAACACAAUAAAAUCACCAAGAACAGGCAUCAUAAACCAAAUAACUUUUAAAUAUUUAAAUAUUAUAUUUCUCCCUACUAUUUGCUCCUUCAUAGCUUUCCUUGAGCAUUCUAUAUCUAAAUGACUAAAUCAUUUAGAACUCAAAAAUAAGAUUCUGAAAUGGGGUUAUCCAUAGGAAAAAGCAAUUAGAGUCUAUAUGGUAUUUUUAAACAUUGAUAAAUUUCUUUAUCAGCUUAUGAGAUAUUAAAGGCAGAUCCUCAUUUUCUUUCUUUCUAGGUGACUUUCGCCAACUAGAAUAACCAAGGUCCUCUUUUCACAUGAAAAUGGAGGUUUUUGCCUCGGAAACUGCUAGCACGAGACAUUCUGCUCUCUCUAGGACAUCAACCAAAAAAUCUUAGCAUCUAAACAAAGAGCAUUGUACCAGAUGAAAACAUUGAGGAGGUUUUAAAAUAUUCGAUUUCUGAAUAGAACAAUGUUCAUUUUUCAUCAUGAAACUUCGAAGAAACUAUAUUUUAUCUUUAUGUUCUCAGAAAAUUCAACUGAUUAAUCUAAAUAGUUAAUCACCAGGUAGCAGAUACAUGUAAGUUAUGUCACUUUCAUUUUCCUAAAUCGGGAGCUUGUACCAUCUCUUC